GACAGAGGGUGCAAACGUUGUUCGGAAUUACUGGGCGUAAAGCGCGUGUAGGCGGCCAUCUAAGUCGGGCGUGAAAUCCCACGGCUCAACCGUGGAAGUGCACUCGAAACUGGAUGGCUAGAGUCCUGGAGAGGAAGGUGGAAUGCUUGGUGUAGAGGUGAAAUUCGUAGAUAUGGGGAGGAACACCGGUGGCGAAGGCGGCAUCCUGGACCGGCAUUGACGCUGAGUGAGCGAAAGCCAGGGGAGCAAACGGG
rnacentral:rRNA from 1 species